CAUUACCGAGUGCGGGUCCUUUGGGCCCAACCUCCCAUCCGUGUCUAUUAUACCCUGUUGCUUCGGCGGGCCCGCCGCUUGUCGGCCGCCGGGGGGGCGCCUUUGCCCCCCGGGCCCGUGCCCGCCGGAGACCCCAACACGAACACUGUCUGAAAGCGUGCAGUCUGAGUUGAUUGAAUGCAAUCAGUUAAAACUUUCAACAAUGGAUCUCUUGGUUCCGGCAUCGAUGAAGAACGCAGCGAAAUGCGAUAACUAAUGUGAAUUGCAGAAUUCAGUGAAUCAUCGAGUCUUUGAACGCACAUUGCGCCCCCUGGUAUUCCGGGGGGCAUGCCUGUCCGAGCGUCAUUGCUGCCCUCAAGCCCGGCUUGUGUGUGGGUCGCCGUCCCCCUCUCCGGGGGGACGGGCCCGAAAGGCAGCGGCGGCACCGCGUCCGAUCCUCGAGCGUAUGGGGCUUUGUCACAUGCUCUGUAGGAUUGGCCGGCGCCUGCCGACGUUUUCCAACCAUUUUUUCCAGGUUGACCUCGGAUCAGGUAGGGAUACCCGCUGAACUUAAGCAUAUCAAUAAGCGGAGGAAAAGAAACCAACCGGGAUUGCCUCAGUAACGGCGAGUGAAGCGGCAAGAGCUCAAAUUUGAAAGCUGGCUCCUUCGGAGUCCGCAUUGUAAUUUUGCAGAGGAUGCUUUUGGGUGCGGCCCCCGUCUAA
rnacentral:rRNA from 1 species